AGGAGAGAUGGCUUAAAGGGGUACGCGGGCUUCUUCCGCGAAUCUGCUCCAGGAUGGGACUGCGUCCGAUCAGGCUGUUGGCGGGGUAAUGGCCCACCAAACCUGUAACCGGUACGGGCCUUGAGAGAGGUGGCCCGGAGAUGGACACUGAGAGAAGGGUCCAGGUCCUACGGGGCGCAGCAGGCGCGAAACCUUCGCAAUGCGCGAAAGCGUGACGAGGUUAAUCCGAGUGACUCCCGCUGAGGGGGUCUUUUGUCAGCUGUAAAUAGGCAGGCGAAUAAGGGGAGGGCAAGCCUGGUGUCAGCCGCCGCGGUAAUACCAGCUCCUCGAGUGGUCGGGGCGAUUAUUGGGCCUAAAGCAUCCGUAGCCGGUUCCGUAGGUCCUCUGUUAAAUCCAACCGCUUAACGGUUGACCUGCAGAGGAUACCGCGGGACUAGGAGGCGGGAGAGGCGGACGGUACUCCGCGUGUAGGGGUAAAAUCCUUUGAUCCGCGGAAGACCACCAGUGGCGAAGGCGGUCCGCCAGAACGCGCUCGACGGUGAGGGAUGAAAGCUGGGGGAGCGAACCGGAUUAGAUACCCGGGUAGUCCCAGCCGUAAACGAUGCUAGCUAGAUGAUUCAUUCGCAAGUCGCGAAUGAAGUGUCGCAGGGAAGCCGUUA
rnacentral:rRNA from 1 species